rnacentral:rRNA from 1 species
CUGCAUGAAGUCGGAAUUGCUAGUAAUCGCAGAUCAGCAUGCUGCGGUGAAUACGUUCCCGGGCCUUGUACACACCGCCCGUCACACCAUAGGAGUCGGUAACACCCGAAGUCGGUAGCCUAACCGUAAGGAGGGCGCCGCCGAAGGUGGGAUUGAUGACUGGGGUGAAGUCGUAACAAGGUAUC